GUAAUACGUGAGUAACCUGCCCUUGACUUUGGGAUAACUUCAGGAAACUGGGGCUAAUACCGGAUAGGAGCUCCUGCUGCAUGGUGGGGGUUGGAAAGUUUCGGCGGUUGGGGAUGGGCUCGCGGCCUAUCAGCUUGUUGGUGGGGUAAUGGCUUACCAAGGCGACGACGGGUAGCCGGCCUGAGAGGGUGACCGGCCACACUGGGACUGAGAUACGGCCCAGACUCCUACGGGAGGCAGCAGUGGGGAAUAUUGCACAAUGGGCGGAAGCCUGAUGCAGCAACGCCGCGUGCGGGAUGACGGCCUUCGGGUUGUAAACCGCUUUCGCCUGUGACGAAGCGUGAGUGACGGUAAUGGGUAAAGAAGCACCGGCUAACUACGUGCCAGCAGCCGCGGUGAUACGUAGGGUGCGAGCGUUGUCCGGAUUUAUUGGGCGUAAAGGGCUCGUAGGUGGUUGAUCGCGUCGGAAGUGUAAUCUUGGGGCUUAACCCUGAGCGUGCUUUCGAUACGGGUUGACUUGAGGAAGGUAGGGGAGAAUGGAAUUCCUGGUGGAGCGGUGGAAUGCGCAGAUAUCAGGAGGAACACCAGUGGCGAAGGCGGUUCUCUGGGCCUUUACUGACGCUGAGGAGCGAAAGCGUGGGGAGCGAACAGGAUUAGAUACCCUGGUAGUCCACGCUGUAAACGGUGGGUACUAGGUGUGGGGUCCAUUCCACGGGUUCCGUGCCGUAGCUAACGCAUUAAGUGCCCCGCCUGGGGAGUACGGCCGCAAGGCUAAAACUCAAAGGAAUUGACGGGGGCCCGCACAAGCGGCGGAGCAUGUGGAUUAAUUCGAUGCAAAGCGAAGA
rnacentral:rRNA from 1 species